rnacentral:tRNA from 57 species
CGGAUGUAGCCAAGUGGAUUAAGGCAGU